GAUGAACGCUGGCGGCGUGCUUAACACAUGCAAGUCGAACGAUGAAGCCCAGCUUGCUGGGUGGAUUAGUGGCGAACGGGUGAGUAACACGUGAGUAACCUGCCCUUAACUCUGGGAUAAGCCUGGGAAACUGGGUCUAAUACCGGAUAGGAGCGCCUACCGCAUGGUGGGUGUUGGAAAGAUUUAUCGGUUUUGGAUGGACUCGCGGCCUAUCAGCUUGUUGGUGAGGUAAUGGCUCACCAAGGCGACGACGGGUAGCCGGCCUGAGAGGGUGACCGGCCACACUGGGACUGAGACACGGCCCAGACUCCUACGGGAGGCAGCAGUGGGGAAUAUUGCACAAUGGGCGCAAGCCUGAUGCAGCGACGCCGCGUGAGGGAUGACGGCCUUCGGGUUGUAAACCUCUUUCAGUAGGGAAGAAGCGAAAGUGACAGUACCUGCAGAAGAAGCACCGGCUAACUACGUG
rnacentral:rRNA from 1 species